rnacentral:lncRNA from 1 species
AACAAUUAAUUCAUUUCUGAGAAAGUUUUUUUGGUAACAGAUAUCGCCACUUUCCACUCACCUAGAAUGGCGGGCGAAAGAAGCUCUUCCACAGACUGCCCAUUGUUAUGGAGGGAUCAGCCGGAUUGUAAAGACGGGGAUCGACAGAUCAGGCUCGGACCUCAUGAUAAAUAUUUUCACUCGAGAAUCGAACUCAGGUCCUCCAGAGUGAAAAGUCAAAGCGUUUCCACGCGGUCAAUCAGACCUUUUCUUGGAAAGUUUGUUGGUCAAUAGUGAUUAAGAGAUAGCAUUAAUUAUACAGUUUGUUAUAUUAAUUUAAUUGUGUAGAAAUGAAUUUUCAUUUUCUUUAAUUAAUUUAAUAAAGAAGAGGAAUCAUAUAUAAAUAGUGGCCGUUACUAAUGGAAUAUCAAAUAAUUCGAAGACCAAUAGUCAAAAUAUCCAUUACAAAUUAUGAAUAUAUUAAUAGUAC